rnacentral:tRNA from 1 species
CAGAUUAAGCUUAUUAGGUAGGAAUUUCAUUUACAUUGAAUUUUGGGUUGUGCAAAUCAACAUAAUCUGA